AGCAGUCGCCGCGGUAAAACGAAGGGUGCAAGCGUUACUCGGAAUUACUGGGCGUAAAGCGUGCGUAGGUGGUGGUUUAAGUCCGUUGUGAAAGCCCUGGGCUCAACCUGGGAAUUGCAGUGGAUACUGGGUCACUAGAGUGUGGUAGAGGAUAGUGGAAUUUCCGGUGUAGCAGUGAAAUGCGUAGAGAUCUGGAGGAAUACCGGUGGCGAAGGCGGCCCCCUGGACAAAGACUGACGCUCAGGUGCGAAAGCGUGGGGAGCAAACAGGAUUAGAUACCCCGGUAGUCCCUGUCUCUUAUAC
rnacentral:rRNA from 1 species